GCCUGGGUGGCUCAGUCGGUUGAGCAUCCGACUUCGGCUCAGGUCCUGAUCUCACGGCUCGUGGGUUCGAGCCCUGUGUCAGGCU
rnacentral:tRNA from 1 species